CGAACUUCGGGAGGUAGUGACAAAAAAUAUCAAUAGGGGGACCAAUGGUCUUCCUAAUUGGAAUGAGUACAAUGUAAACACCUUAACGAGGAACCAGCAGAGGGCAAGUCUGGUGCCAGCAGCCGCGGUAAUUCCAGCUCUGUAAGCGUAUACCAAAGUUGUUGCAGUUAAAACGCUCGUAGUCGGAUUUUGGCGUGGUACAGCUGAGGUCCCUGAUUGGGUUCCGAGGUUAGUCCCGCCUUUGUGGAUGGGGGCGUGGUGGUGCUUAACUGUAUUGCUGCGUUUCCGCCACUGUUUACUGUGAAAAAAUUAGAGUGUUCAAAGCGAGCGAUUGCCAUGAAUACAUUAGCAUGGAAUAAUAGAAUAGGACCUGAUCCUGUUUUGUUGGUUUGUCGGUAUUAGGUAAUGAUUAAGAGGGACGGUCGGGGGCAUUUGUAUUCCAGGGUUAGAGGUGAGAUUCUUGGAUCCUUGGAAGACAAACAGCUGCGAAAGCGUCUGCCAAGGACGUUUUCAUUGAUCAAGAACGAAAGUAAGGGGAUCGAAGACGAUCAGAUACCGUCGUAGUCUUUACUAUAAACUAUGUGAUCUGGGGAUUAGCCGAGGCCUAUUUGGUUCGGUUAGCACCCUCCGGGAAACCAAAGAUUUUGCAUUCUGGGGGGAGUAUGGUCGCAAGUCUGAAACUUAAAGGAAUUGACGGAAGGGCAUCACCGGGUGUGGAGCCUG
rnacentral:rRNA from 1 species